CCUACGGGGGGCAGCAGUGGGGAAUAUUGGACAAUGGGGGCAACCCUGAUCCAGCCAUGCCGCGUGUGUGAAGAAGGCCCUCGGGUUGUAAAGCACUUUCAGUGAGGAAGAACGCCUGGUGGUUAAUACCCAUCAGGAAAGACAUCACUCACAGAAGAAGCACCGGCUAACUCCGUGCCAGCAGCCGCGGUAAUACGGAGGGUGCGAGCGUUAAUCGGAAUUACUGGGCGUAAAGCGCGCGUAGGUGGCUUGAUAAGCCGGUUGUGAAAGCCCCGGGCUCAACCUGGGAACGGCAUCCGGAACUGUCAAGCUAGAGUGCAGGAGAGGAAGGUAGAAUUCCCGGUGUAGCGGUGAAAUGCGUAGAGAUCGGGAGGAAUACCAGUGGCGAAGGCGGCCUUCUGGACUGACACUAACACUGAGGUGCGAAAGCGUGGGUAGCAAACAGGAUUAGAUACCCUGGUAGUC
rnacentral:rRNA from 1 species